GACGAACGCUGGCGGCGUGCUUAACACAUGCAAGUCGAACGGAAAGGCCCUGCUUUUGUGGGGUGCUCGAGUGGCGAACGGGUGAGUAACACGUGAGUAACCUGCCCUUGACUUUGGGAUAACUUCAGGAAACUGGGGCUAAUACCGGAUAGGAGCUCCUGCUGCAUGGUGGGGGUUGGAAAGUUUCGGCGGUUGGGGAUGGACUCGCGGCUUAUCAGCUUGUUGGUGGGGUAGUGGCUUACCAAGGCUUUGACGGGUAGCCGGCCUGAGAGGGUGACCGGCAACAUUGGGACGGAGAUACGGCCAAGACGCCGACGGGAGGAAGCAGUGGGGAAUAGGGCACAAUGGGCGGAAGCCUGAUGCCGCAACGCGGCGGGGGGGAUGACGGCCUGCGGGUAGUAAACAGCUUUCGCCUGUGACGAAGCGUGAGUGACGGUAAUGGGUAAAGAAGCACAGGCUAACUAAGUG
rnacentral:rRNA from 1 species